AUACCCAGUCGAGCCUCUUACCCUCAUAGACUCGUUUUCAGUCGUCACCACCCUGAGAUCCACACACUCUGAUCACCCACACACCUUCCUCUUCUCACCUCUUCAUGGCCUCAUUCUGCUGAUUCCCCAAGACCUGGUCCAGGACUUGACUCCUCCGCAGCCCUCCUCGGAGGCUUAGCCUCCAGUGACUUUGCCAUUGGUUUGCAAGUGAUCCUCGUCCCUGUUAGGUUUUGUUUUUUUUAUUUUGUCUGAGACAGAGUCUCGCAACUAGCCCAGACUAGCCUGGAACUGGCAAUCCUCCUGCCUUGGCCCUUCCAAGUACGGAAUUAAAGGUAUGUGCCACCAUGCCCACCCAAAAAAAAAAAAAAAAAAAAAAAAA
rnacentral:lncRNA from 1 species